rnacentral:rRNA from 1 species
GACGAACGCUGGCGGCGUGCCUAAUACAUGCCAGUAGAACGCACAGUUUAUACCGUAGCUUGCUACACCAUAAACUGUGAGUUGCGAACGGGUGAGUAACGCGUAGGUAACCUGCCUGGUAGCGGAGGAUAACUAUUGGAAACGAUAGCUAAUACCGCAUAAUAUUGAUUAUUGCAUGAUAAUUGAUUGAAAGAUGCUAUUGCAUCACUACCAGAUGGACCUGCGUUGUAUUAGCUAGUAGGUGAGGUAACGGCUCACCUAGGCGACGAUACAUAGCCGACCUGAGAGGGUGAUCGGCCACACUGGGACUGAGACACGGCCCAGACUCCUACGGGAGGCAGCAGUAGGGAAUCUUCGGCAAUGGACGAAAGUCUGACCGAGCAACGCCGCGUGAGUGAAGAAGGUUUUCGGAUCGUAAAGCUCUGUUGUAAGAGAAGAACGGGUGUGAGAGUGGAAAGUUCACACUGUGACGGUAUCUUACCAGAAAGGGACGGCUAACUACGUG